rnacentral:rRNA from 1 species
GACGGGGGGUCCUAGCGUUGUUCGGAAUCAUUGGGCGUAAAGCGUGUGCAGGUGGUUUGGUAAGUUGGAUGUGAAAGCCCCGGGCUUAACCCGGGAAGGGCAUUCAAAACUACCAAACUUGAGUAAGGUAGAGGGUCGUGGAAUUCCUGGUGUAGUGGUGAAAUACGUAGAUAUCAGGAGGAACACCGGCGGCGAAGGCGGCGACCUGGACCUAUACUGACACUCAUACACGAAAGCGUGGGGAUCAAACAGG